rnacentral:rRNA from 1 species
AGAGUUUGAUCCUGGCUCAGGACGAACGCUGGCGGCGUGCCUAAUACAUGCAAGUCGAGCGAGCUGAACCAGCAGAUUCACUUCGGUGAUGACGCUGGGAACGCGAGCGGCGGAUGGGUGAGUAACACGUGGGUAACCUGCCCUAAAGUCUGGGAUACCACUUGGAAACAGGUGCUAAUACCGGAUAACAACAAUAGCUGCAUGGCUAUUGCUUAAAAGGCGGCGAAAGCUGUCGCUAAAGGAUGGACCCGCGGUGCAUUAGCUAGUUGGUAAGGUAAUGGCUUACCAAGGCGACGAUGCAUAGCCGAGUUGAGAGACUGAUCGGCCACAUUGGGACUGAGACACGGCCCAAACUCCUACGGGAGGCAGCAGUAGGGAAUCUUCCACAAUGGGCGAAAGCCUGAUGGAGCAACGCCGCGUGAGUGAAGAAGGUUUUCGGAUCGUAAAGCUCUGUUGUUGGUGAAGAAGGAUAGAGGUAGUAACUGGCCCCUAUUUGACGGUAAUCAACCAGAAAGUCACGGCUAACUACGUGCCAGCAGCCGCGGU